CGGGCGGUAGCUCAGCUUGGUAGAGCUUCCGGCUGUAGAAGUCUACCCGUAUGGUGGGCAUCAUUUAGCCUAUCAAGCGUACAGAAACCGGAACGUCGCAGGUUCAAAUCCCGCCCGCCCGACCA
rnacentral:tRNA from 1 species